AUUUCUAUAUGAAAUAGCCUAUGAAUUCACUUGUUGUGAUAGGUGAUCACAAAGACCACAAUAUCCUUGGAGUUGGAACAUUCAUUUCAAUGAUAUGAUCAAAUUGUUAGGUCAAAUAUGAGGAAUUAUGAGUUUGUGUCCAAUACUGACAUCGAUUAAAAUAUGAUUGAAUAUAGAUUUUUUAAUGAAAGAUAUAAAGUGAGCAUCCUAAAGAUCCAUAGAAAUAGAUGCAAUUGGAUGCUUGUGUUUUCACAGAUAAAGUACAA
rnacentral:lncRNA from 1 species